GUUGACCUCGGAUCAGGUAGGAAUACCCGCUGAACUUAAGCAUAUCAAUAA
rnacentral:rRNA from 29 species